AUGAACCCAUUGAAAGUUUUUCCAGAUUUACCAAUGAUGAGGAAACCGGAGAGGGCACACUUCUUCAGCCAAAGGGAGCAGGAGCUCAUUAUGAAGCUGUAUGAAGAAGAAAGGGCCAUUCUAACAGCUAAGUCCAAUACCACCAAUGCCUCCAGACUCAGAGAGGAAGCCUGGCAGCGAAUCGCCAGUAAAAUAAAUGCUGUUUCAGACAGCGGCUACAGAAGGUCAUGGCAACAAGUGAAAGUCAAAUACAAGAAUAUAGUGCAAACAGCACGGAGACGGCAAGCCGAGCUGAUGAGGAAUGAAGGCGGAUCGGCGACGCCGUCCAUGACGUCUGCAGAUGAUGACAUUUUGCUUCACAGAGACUCGCUAAAACUUGAUGCCCUUGCUGGACUUCCCUCUCUUGACCAAAUAUCUGGUUCUGACAGCUCAUAUAUGAGCAUGCCAGGCCAUCCUGUCCUCCUAAUGCCAGUGACAAAGACUGAACCAGAGAGCCUCAGCAGCGACGACACAGACAUUAGUGACCAUCAUUUUGAAAACGAGAGUAUGCCCAUUAGCCACUUUGAAGAGCGGCCAAGCACAGCAGAGGCUACAGGUGGUGGCAGUAGUGGCGAGACACAGACAGAAGACGUGAAGGCUCUUUACUCCAGUUACCUCAGAAAGGAGAUGGAGAACCGGGACCAGGAGAUGGCAUACAGAGCACUCAAAAUGAAGAAGUUGGAGAAAGAAAUACUAUUACUUGACAAACAACUAAUGUGAAUGUGAUAAUUUAAAAAUGUUAUGUUUUCUGAUCGCU
rnacentral:lncRNA from 1 species